GACGAACGCUGGCGGCGUGCCUAAUACAUGCAAGUUGAGCGCUGAAGGUUGGUACUUGUACCAACUGGAUGAGCAGCGAACGGGUGAGUAACGCGUGGGGAAUCUGCCUUUGAGCGGGGGACAACAUUUGGAAACGAAUGCUAAUACCGCAUAAAAACUUUAAACACAAGUUUUAAGUUUGAAAGAUGCAAUUGCAUCACUCAAAGAUGAUCCCGCGUUGUAUUAGCUAGUUGGUGAGGUAAAGGCUCACCAAGGCGAUGAUACAUAGCCGACCUGAGAGGGUGAUCGGCCACAAUUGGACUGAGACACGGCCCAAACUCCUACGGGAGGCAGCAGUAGGGAAUCUUCGGCAAUGGACGAAAGUCUGACCGAGCAACGCCGCGGGAGGGAAGAAGGGUUUCGGAUCGUAAAACUCUGUUGGUAGAGAAGAACGUUGGUGAGAGUGGAAAGCUCAUCAAGUGACGGUAACUACCCAGAAAGGGACGGCUAACUACGUG
rnacentral:rRNA from 1 species